AUUGAACGCUGGCGGCAGGCCUAACACAUGCAAGUCGAACGAGUAGCGGACGGGUGAGUAAUGUCUGGGCAACUGCCUGAUGGAGGGGGAUAACUACUGGAAACGGUAGCUAAUACCGCAUACCAUCAGAUGUGCCCAGAUGGGAUGCUCUUGUUGGUGGGGUAACGGCGCACCAAGGCGACGAUCCCUAGCUGGUCUGAGAGGAUGACCAGCCACACUGGAACUGAGACACGGUCCAGACUCCUACGGUAGGCAGUAGUGGGGAUUAUUGAACGAUGGGCGCAAGACUGUGGCAGCCAUUCCGCGUGUAGGAAGAAGGCUUUCGGGUUGUAAAGUACUUUCAGCGGGGAGGCGUUACCCGCAUAAGAAGCACCGGCUAACUCCGUGCCAGCAGCCGCGGUAAUAC
rnacentral:rRNA from 1 species